GCAGAGAUGGCGGAAUUGGUAGACGCGCUCGUUUCAGGUGCGAGUAGCUGCAAAGCUGUUGGAGUUCGAGUCUCCUUCUCUGCACCA
rnacentral:tRNA from 1 species